AAUCAGCGAGACUCUGUGGGCGUAGGACCCUGGGAGCCAGGUGCCGGAUAUAAUCUCGUGGUGCGCCGUUUUUUAAGCCCGUCGGAAAAGCGCAGUAUUCGGGUGGGAGUGACCCGAUUUUCCAGGUGCCGUCCGUCACCCCUUUCUUUGACUCAGAAAGGGAACUCCCUGACCCCUUGCGCUUCCCAAGAGAGGCAAUGCCUCGCCCUGCUUCAGCUCGCGCACGGUGCGCGCACCCACUGACCUGCGCCCACUGUCUGGCGCUCCCUAGUGAGAUGAACCCGGUACCUCAGAUGGAAAUGCAGAAAUCACCCGUCUUCUGCGUCGCUCACGCUGGGAGCUGUAGACCGGAGCUGUUCCUAUUCGGCCAUCUUGGCUCCUCCUGUAACAAUUUCUUGAGAUGAAGAUCCUGAAUACCAAAGAGGGCCGCUGACAGGUCCAGGAGUACACUUCUAGCACCUAGCAGAGAGAGGCUUCACUACAUCAUGCUUCCUGACAUCUCUCCGUUUGAAGAGCAGUCAGACUCCUGCUUUGCUCUUCAGACUUAAUUUGGGGGUUUAACAGCCAUGUGAAGUGCUCACUCCCCCUUUGCCUUCUGCCAUGAUUGUAUGUUUCCUGAGGCCUCCCCAGAAGCUGAGAAGAUGCUUCCUGUACAGCCUGCAGAACUGGAUAGCCCAGAGCUAUUCCAUGGAUGGGCACAUUUGGAAGUUUGGUUCUAAAAUCUAAAAGAAGAAAUUUAAGUGUGCUGAAGAUAACUGCAACUCCAAACCUAACGCUGUGUAGUUCUAUGUUCUGCCAUUUUGAAGCAAAGUGGAACCAGAAGUGAGAGGACUAUUUCUAGGUCAUGCUACGGUUACCCUGACCCCAGUC
rnacentral:antisense_RNA from 1 species